rnacentral:rRNA from 1 species
UACGAAGGUGGCAAGCGUUGUUCGGAUUUACUGGGCGUACAGGGAGCGUAGGCGGUUGGGUAAGCCCUCCGUGAAAUCUCCGGGCCUAACCCGGAAAGUGCGGAGGGGACUGCUCGGCUAGAGGAUGGGAGAGGAGCGCGGAAUUCCCGGUGUAGCGGUGAAAUGCGUAGAGAUCGGGAGGAAGGCCGGUGGCGAAGGCGGCGCUCUGGAACAUUUCUGACGCUGAGGCUCGAAAGCGUGGGGAGCAACAGGG